rnacentral:rRNA from 1 species
ACGGCUCAGUAACACGUGGACAGCCUGCCCUUUAGGUUGGGUAUAAACCCGGGAAACUGGGUAUAAUACCCGAUAGGUCUCGAUUGCUGGAAUGCAUCGAGAUUUAAAGCUCCGGCGCCUAAGGAUGGGUCUGCGGCCUAUCAGGUAGUAGUGGGUGUAGCGUACCUACUAGCCUACGACGGGUACGGGUUGUGAGAGCAAGAGCCCGGAGAUGGAUUCUGAGACACGAAUCCAGGCCCUACGGGGUGCAGCAGGCGCGAAAACUUUACAAUGCUGGCAACAGCGAUAAGGGAACCUCGAGUGCCAGGUUACAAAUCUGGCUGUCGAGAUGCCUAAAAAGCAUUUCAUAGCAAGGGCCGGGCAAGACCGGUGCCAGCCGCCGCGGUAACACCGGCGGCUCGAGUGGUAACCGUUAUUAUUGGGUCUAAAGGGUCUGUAGCCGGCCGGAUAAGUCUCUUGAGAAAUCUGGCAGCUUAACUGUCAGGCUUUCAGGAGAUACUGUCUGGCUCGAGGCCGGGAGAGGUGAGAGGUACUUCAGGGGUAGGGGUGAAAUCUUGUAAUCCUUGAAGGACCACCAGUGGCGAAGGCGUCUCACCAGAACGGACCUGACGGCAAGGGACGAAAGCUAGGGGCACGAACCGGAUUAGAUACCCGGGUAGUCCUAGCCGUAAACGAUACUCGCUAGGUGUCGGCCACGGCGCGACCGUUGUCGGUGCCGUAGGGAAGCCGUGAAGCGAGCCACCUGGGAAGUACGGCCGCAAGGCUGAAACUUAAAGGAAUUGGCGGGGGAGCAC